UUCUUUUAAACAUUACUUGUUUAAAUUGUUACAUUAGUGCAGAAUUUGAAUGGAAUACUGCAUUGUGGAUGAAGGUGACUAUACUGUAACUGAUGACACAACCCUAGCUGAAACCUUUUAAAUGCUGAACAUGGUAGAGGAUCAUUUCAGUCAAGCUGUGGCUUCUCCAUGAAGAAUUUCAACACUUUAGAUGGUACUUUUGGUGGAAAAGGUACCAUCUGCUGGCAGCAUUCUGACAGAUUGAUACACGAAAAAGGGAAUGAUAAUCAGUUGAAGAAGCAAUAACAAAAAGAUACUCUUCCACAUGUAAAACAUUGGUUUCAGGUUUCACAAUGAAGAAAUAUCACUGACACAUGUUGGCACAUUAAACAUAUAAGACAACUUCACUAAAAGGUGUGAAGUAUCCUUCCUUACGUAUGACAAAAAUUCAGACUUGUUCUAAG
rnacentral:lncRNA from 1 species